UACGGGGGGGGCAAGCGUUGUUCGGAAUUACUGGGCGUAAAGGGUUCGUAGGUGGCCCGCUAAGUCAGACGUGAAAUCCCUCAGCUCAACUGGGGAACUGCGUCCGAUACUGGGUGGCUUGAAUUCGGGAGAGGGAUGCGGAAUUCCAGGUGUAGCGGUGAAAUGCGUAGAUAUCUGGAGGAACACCGGUGGCGAAGGCGGCAUCCUGGACCGACAUUGACGCUGAGGCGCGAAAGCCAGGGGAGCAAACGGG
rnacentral:rRNA from 1 species